UGCAGAGCCUGAUGUGGGGCCCAAACUUAGGAAACUGUGAGACCAUGAUGUGAACCAAAAUCAAGAGUCAGAUGCUCAACUGAAUGAACCACCCAGGUGCUCCAAGAGGUCUUAUUUUUAAAGCAAGAACCACGAAAGAUUCUUAUUGGCUGGUGGGUCCAAAUGCUGAAGCCCACAGCAAUGACUGUGAAUAUUCAUUCCUGAGUUUUCUUAGUCUUCCUAGGGGUCCCUGGGUAGAAGUGGGUAUGAGAUAGUUGGCUUGGUAGGUUGGUUCAGGUAAGGGAAACAAAGUCAGGGGCGGGCCUGAUCCGUGUGGGAGCCUUCUGCUUUAACUGUGCUUACACACUGAGCACCUGAGCUGGCUGGUUGAACAGUUUCAUAGAAAUGAUUAAUAAGGAGGCAAACAUGGUGAGAGUGGGAAUAAAUGAGUAUAAAUACCUUGCAGGACUUGGAGAAACACUUGCUGACAGUGAAUCAGUUAGUGUUUCCCUGAGUGCAAAGGACAGUAUUUUCUGGUAUGUGUGAACAUGCCCAGUAGUUUGACAAUCAGACCUGCAUGUCUGAUGAUAUUAAUUGCAGGGUGUUAUGGGCCAGGUUUCUGUACGUUGGGUGGAGGUGGAGGCCACUGGCAUGGUAUACAUUGCUUGGGAAGAAACAUGAGUGGGAGGAAGAAAAGAGGUUUCUCUGGGGCUGUUGCAAGGCUGAUGCUGGUGAAAUAUGUUUGUCUUUCUUGAGUGGUAAGCAGCAUCUGCAAGGAUUGUUAGCUGCUGAGCAGCACGUCUUCUGUACUUAAGACCCAUGAGAGAUUUGGGUGACGGUAGUAGUGAGACAUGGGGAGUUUCAGAGGUCAUGCCCUCCCUGGAACCUUCUUCAUUACCAUGGGUAUUUGGUGGACCAUAAAGUGCACUCUGAAGUAUGCCUGCAAAAAGCACAAACGGACUUCCUACCUUGGUUCCAAAGCAUUAUUCCAUCGAAUGGAUAUUGUGGAGGGAAUUAUAAUAAUUUGCAUGGCUUUAACUGGCAUGCUUGGAGAGCAGUUUGUUACUGAAGGGCCCCACUUGGCUUUAUAUAACUAUAAAGAGGGCCAGUGGGUCCAACUCCUGAGCUGGCAUCAUUCCACCAUGUAUUUCUUCUUCGGGCUGGUGGGCGUGGCAAACAUCUUAAGGUUUAUCAUCAAUUCGUUUCCCAUUUCCUUAAUCAAAUUGCUGUUGUCGAAUGCCUUAUUUGUUGAGGCUUUUAUCUUGUACAACCACACUCAUGGCCGGGAAAUGCUGGACAUCUUUGUGCACCAGCUGCUGGUCUUGGCUGUCUUUGUGGCAGCCCUGAUAGGCUUCUUGGAGUUCUUUGUAAGGAACAAUGUCAUUGUGGAGCUUCUUCAGAUGACCUUUAUCCUGCUUCAGGGAAGCUGGUUCUGGCAGAUUGGUUUUGUCCUUUAUCCCCCUAGUGGAGGUCCUGCAUGGGAUUCAAUGGAUCAUGACAACAUUAUGUUUCUCAGCACAUGCUUUUGUUGGCAUUACACAUUACACAUUGUCAUUGUUGGAGUGAUUUAUGCCUUUGUUACUUGGCUGACAUCUGGGCCUCAUCCCCUUAGGGGCUGGGCAGCCUCCAAGAAUAAAGGCGACAUUCAAGGAGCCUCUCUAGCUCAUGUCAGCUCUCUUCCAUGGCCAAAAGAAGACUACUGUCUCUUCCUGUUUCAAAAGGCUUCAGACCCCUCUUAUCCACUUACAACUUUCUAGAAACCGGAAACUCCAUGUUUAUUUUCUCAACACUCCCCACCUCCAGACACCUUUAUCUUUUGUGACCACUUAGUCCCCUCUACCUGGCAUAUCCAAAUCAAACGCCAUAUCUUCUAUGAAAACUUCUGUGAUAAUUCUAGCCCUCAUUUCCCUUCAUGAGUUUGGAUAGUACUUGAGUCGCUACUACUCAUUUUAACAAUUGUGAUCUAUCUUUACUAUUAGCCAGUCUUAUCUGCUAGCUAGGUUGUAUCACUUUUAGGAAAAGACCCUUUUCAUAUUUUACAUGGCUGUUGGCAUGCCAUCAAACAUGCAGUAGGUAUUCAUUAAACACUUAUUUGCAGUUUUAAUAGAUCUACUCAGUUAUAUGAGUAUGGGCUUUAUUUGUUUGGAAAUCAUGUUUCAGAUGCUUUUCAGUUUUGCUCUCAUAUUGCUUUGGAAAUAUAAGACCAAGAGCUCAUGUUAUGAGGUUGGUUAAAUCUCGACUUAAGAGGUUCUGCUCCUCAGAAGUUGGACUCCUGAAAAAUACUGAACGAGAACAAGAAUCAGAAGAAGAGAUGUGAUUUUGAGGGCCAUCUAGUCUUUCUGGAUGAACUUUUCUUUUUUGGAAUAUUUUUGUUCAUGGUUUUGUUUUUUGAUCUUUUGCUUGGAGAACAGGUGGCUGAGGAUGAUUCUUGGUGUAUUGUUUGUAUUUCCAAUUUGCUUAAAGUAUUUGAAUUCAAAUAUUUUGUUUUUAGAUUUGUAAGUACUUUGGAUGAUAAAUGCAUUUUGCACAUAAGUCAUGGUAUUUGGGGCCUGGAGUGACUGUUUCCAGAUGAUUUUAAGUCUGAUGCCCAUGCUAAGAAAAAUGUGUUAUUUACCUUAUAGAUAUGCUCAAGGUUCCUGGGCUUGCUAUCAUUUGUAAUUCAUUAAACAUGGAAUUACACUUGUUUAUCUUGUUGUUGCAAUGAGAAAUAAAGGAAUGCAGGAACCUUGGUUCAGACA